CGGUGGAUGAUGUGGUUUAAUUCGAUGCAACGACGAAAACCUUACCCACCUUUGACAUGUACGGAACCCUUUAGAGAUAGAGGGGUGCUCGAAAGAGAGCCGUAACACAGGUGCUGCAUGGCUGUCGUCAGCUCGUGUCGUGAGAUGUUGGGUUAAGUCCCGCAACGAGCGCAACCCUUGUCAUUAGUUGCUACAUUCAGUUGGGCACUCUAAUGAGACUGCCGGUGACAAGCCGGAGGAAGGUGGGGAUGACGUCAAGUCCUCAUGGCCCUUAUAGGUGGGGCUACACACGUCAUACAAUGGCUGGUACAAAGGGUUGCCAACCCGCGAGGGGGAGCCAAUCCCAUAAAGCCAGUCGUAGUCCGGAUCGUAGUCUGCAACUCGACUACGUGAAGUCGGAAUCGCUAGUAAUCGUGGAUCAGAAUGUCACGGUGAAUACGUUCCCGGGUCUU
rnacentral:rRNA from 1 species